GCCCAGAUGGUGAAAUUGGUAGACACAGGGGACUCAAAAUCCCCCGACUUCGGUCAUGAGGGUUCAAUUCCCUCUUUGGGCACCA
rnacentral:tRNA from 1 species